GUGAGAUUAGCUCAGUUGGUUAGAGCGUCGGAUUGUGGUUCCGAAGGUCGUGGGUUCGAAACCCACAUUUCACCCCA
rnacentral:tRNA from 3 species